rnacentral:rRNA from 1 species
AUUGAACGCUGGCGGCAGGCCUACCACAUGCAAGUCGAGCGAGCGGCGGACGGGUGAGUAAUGUAUGGGGACUGCCCGAUAGAGGGGGAUAACUACUGGAAACGGUGGCUAAUACCGCAUACUAUCGGAUAACCCAUAUGGGAUUAGCUAGUAGGGGGGGUAAAGGCUCACCUAGGCGACGAUCUCUAGCUGGUCUGCGAGGAUGAUCAGCAACAGUGGGAGUGAGACACGGCCCAGACUCCUCCGGAUGAAGAAGUGGGGAAUAUUGCAAAAGGGGCGCAAGCCUGAUGCAGCCAUGCUGCGUGUAUGAAGAAGGCCUUAGGGUUGUAAAGUACUUUCAUCGGGGAGGCGUUACCCGCAGAAGAAGCACCGGCUAACUCCGUGCCAGCAGCCGCGGUAAUAC